UCUCCAGCUGUUUUUGGACUACAGUUCCUAUCAUCCCUAGCUAUCAGGACCAGUGGUCAGGGAUGAUGGGAACUGGAGUCUAAAAACAGCUGGAGA